UGGGGAAUUUUGGACAAUGGGCGAAAGCCUGAUCCAGCAAUGCCGCGUGUGUGAAGAAGGCCUUCGGGUUGUAAAGCACUUUUGUCCGGAAAGAAAUCCUUGGCUCUAAUACAGUCGGGGGAUGACGGUACCGGAAGAAUAAGCACCGGCUAACUACGUGCCAGCAGCCGCGGUAAUACGUAGGGUGCAAGCGUUAAUCGGAAUUACUGGGCGUAAAGCGUGCGCAGGCGGUUUGCUAAGACCGAUGUGAAAUCCCCGGGCUCAACCUGGGAACUGCAUUGGUGACUGGCAGGCUAGAGUAUGGCAGAGGGGGGUAGAAUUCCACGUGUAGCAGUGAAAUGCGUAGAGAUGUGGAGGAAUACCGAUGGCGAAGGCAGCCCCCUGGGCCAAUACUGACGCUCAUGCACGAAAGCGUGGGGAGCAAACAGGAUUAGAUACCCUGGUAGUCCACGCCCUAAACGAUGUCAACUAGUUGUGGGGAUUCAUUCCUUAGUAACGUAGCUAACGCGUGAAGUUGACCGCCUGGGGAGUACGGUCGC
rnacentral:rRNA from 1 species